rnacentral:misc_RNA from 1 species
AAAGUCGUAACAAGGUUUCCGUAGGUGAACCUGCGGAAGGAUCAUUAACGAACUGUAUGGACUUGGUUGUCGCUGGCCCUCUCUGGGGGCAUGUGCACGCCUUGUUCAAACUUUUCACUUUAACCCCCUGUGCACUUUUGUGGAUUGUGAAUGGAUACUUUUUCAAAGUAACAUUUGGUUUUGGAGUUUGCGCUUAACACGCGCUUUCCCCUUCAUCUGUUCGCAGUUCAUGUCUUUUUACAAACUAUAAUUACAAUCUAGAAUGCUUAACGGUUGGGACUUUAGUGACCCUUCUUAAAUUUAAAUACAACUUUCAACAACGGAUCUCUUGGCUCUC